rnacentral:rRNA from 1 species
AUUGAACGCUGGCGGCAUGCCUUACACAUGCAAGUCGAACGGUAACAGGUCUUCGGAUGCUGACGAGUGGCGAACGGGUGAGUAAUACAUCGGAACGUGCCCGAUCGUGGGGGAUAACGAAGCGAAAGCUUUGCUAAUACCGCAUAAGAUCUACGGAUGAAAGCAGGGGACCGCAAGGCCUUGCGCGAACGGAGCGGCCGAUGGCAGAUUAGGUAGUUGGUGGGAUAAAAGCUUACCAAGCCGACGAUCUGUAGCUGGUCUGAGAGGACGACCAGCCACACUGGGACUGAGACACGGCCCAGACUCCUACGGGAGGCAGCAGUGGGGAAUUUUGGACAAUGGGCGAAAGCCUGAUCCAGCCAUGCCGCGUGCAGGAUGAAGGCCUUCGGGUUGUAAACUGCUUUUGUACGAAACGAAAAGACUCUGGUUAAUACCUGGGGUCCAUGACGGUACCGUAAGAAUAAGCACCGGCUAACUACGUGCCAGCAGCCGCAGUAACAC